rnacentral:rRNA from 1 species
CAGCAGUGGGGAAUAUUGCACAAUCGGGCGCAAGCCUGAUGCAGCCAUGCCGCGUGUAUGAAGAAGGCCUUCGGGUUGUAAAGUACUUUCAGCAGUGAGGAAGGUGGUGCAGUUAAUAGCUGUAUCAUUUGACGUUAGCAACAGAAGAAGCACCGGCUAACUCCGUGCCAGCAGCCGCGGUAAUACGGAGGGUGCGAGCGUUAAUCGGAAUUACUGGGCGUAAAGCGCAUGCAGGUGGUUUGUUAAGUCAGAUGUGAAAGCCCCGGGGCUCAACCUCGGAACUGCAUUUGAAACUGGCAGACUAGAGUCUUGUAGAGGGGGUAGAAUUUCAGGUGUAGCGGUGAAAUGCGUAGAGAUCUGAAGGAAUACCAGUGGCGAAGGCGGCCCCCUGGACAAAGACUGACGCUCAGAUGCGAAAGCGUGGGGAGCAAACAGGAUUAGAUACCCUGGUAG